rnacentral:rRNA from 1 species
GACGAACGCUGGCGGCGUGCUUAACACAUGCAAGUCGAACGGAAAGGCCCCUUCGGGGGUACUCGAGUGGCGAACGGGUGCGUAACACGUGAGUAACCUGCCCUUGACUUCGGGAUAACUUCAGGAAACUGGGGCUAAUACCGGAUAGGAAUCCUUGCUGCAUGGUGGGGGUUGGAAAGCUUCGGCGGAUUUGGAUGGACUCGCGGCUGAUCAGCUUGUUGGUGGGGUAGUGGCUUACCAAGGCGUUGACGGGUAGCCGGCCUGAGAGGGCGACCGGCGACAUUGGGACUGAGACACGGCGCAGACUCCGACGGGAAGCAGCAGUGAGGAAUGGUGGACAAUGGGCGGAAACCUGAUGCAACGACGCCGCGUGCGGGAUGACGGCCUUCGGGUUGUAAGGCGCUUUCAUCAGGGGCGAGGCUUGUAGUGACGGUACCUGCAGAAGAAGCACCGGCUAACUACGUG